CGCAAUUCGCCCUUCGGGGUGCAGCAGGCGCGAAAACUCCACAAUGUACGGAAGUACGAUGGGGUUAUCUCGAGUGCAGUCCGAUAAGGGCUGCUUUUCCAUAGAGUAAUAUCCUGUGGGAAUAAGAGGGGGGCAAGACUGGUGUCAGCCGCCGCGGUAACACCAGCCCCUCGAGUGGUAGGGACUUUUAUUUGGCCUAAAGCGUCCGUAGCUGGCUGUAUCCGUUUCCCGGCAAAUCCGGCGUCUUAAGCGUCGGGCUUCGGGUAAUACCAUACAGCUUGAGGGUGGGAUAGGUGAGCGGUAUUUCUGGGGUAGGGGCGAAAUCCUUUGAUCCCAGGAGGACCACCAGUGGCGAAGGCUGCUCACUAGAACACGCCUGACGGUCAGGGACGAAAGCUGGGGCAGCGAACCGGAUUAGAUACCCGGGUAGUCCCAGCUGUAAACGAUGCUAGCUAGGUGUUGGGUCGGCCACGCGCCGCCCCAGUGCCGCAGGGAAGCCGUUAAGCUAGCCGCCUGGGGAGUACGGCCGCAAGGCUGAAACUUAAAGGAAUUGGCGGGGGAGCAC
rnacentral:rRNA from 1 species